rnacentral:rRNA from 1 species
GACGAACGCUGGCGGCGUGCCUAAUACAUGCAAGUUGAGCGCUGAAGGUUGGUACUUGUACCGACUGGAUGAGCAGCGAACGGGUGAGUAACGCGUGGGGAAUCUACCUUUGAGCGGGGGACAACAUUGGGAAACGAAUGCUAAUACCGCAUAAAAACUUUAAACACAAGUGUUAAGUUUGAAAGAUUAAAUUGCAUCAAUCAAAGAUGAACCCGCGUUGUAUUAGCUAGUUGGUGAGGUAAAGGCUCACAAAGGCGAUGAUACAUAGCGGACCUGAGAGGGUGAUCGGCCACAUUGGGACUGAGACACGGCCCAAACUCCUACGGGAGGCAGCAGUAGGGAAUCUUCGGCAAUGGACGAAAGUCUGACCGAGCAACGCCGCGUUAGUGAAGAAGGUUUUCGGAUCGUAAAACUCUGUUGGUAGAGAAGAACGUUGGUGAGAGUGGAAAGCUCAUCAAGUGACGGUAACUACCCAGAAAGGGACGGCUAACUACGUGCCAGCAGCCGCGGUAA